rnacentral:rRNA from 1 species
CCUACGGGAGGCAGCAGUGGGGAAUAUUGCACAAUGGGGGAAACCCUGAUGCAGCGACGCCGCGUGAGUGAAGAAGUAAUUCGUUAUGUAAAGCUCUAUCAGCAGGGAAGAAAAUGACGGUACCUGAGUAAGAAGCCCCGGCUAACUACGUGCCAGCCGCCGCGGUAAUACGUAGGGGGCAAGCGUUAUCCGGAUUUACUGGGUGGAAAGGGAGCGUAGACGGCUGUGCAAGUAUGGAGUGAAAGGCGGGGGCUCAACCCCCGGACUGCUCUGGAAACUGUACGGCUGGAGUGCAGGAGAGGUAAGUGGAAUUCCUAGUGUAGCGGUGAAAUGCGUAGAUAUUAGGAGGAACACCAGUGGCGAAGGCGGCUUACUAGACUGUAACUGACGUUGAGGCUCGAAAGCGUGGGGAGCAAACAGGAUUAGAUACCCCUGUAGUC